AUCAGUACCGCGGUCCCGCAAAGGACCAAGGAACAUAGCACAGACGCCCAUCACGGGUAAUGUGUAUAACCACUUGUUGAAACACUUGCAUCUGCUUUGGCUGCGCCUUCUGCCUAACAGCGGAGGGGUAAGGCGGCCGGUAGCCCUUAACAAAACUAGUUGAUGAAAUGUCAUGCUGUCUGAUACUGUUUAGUAUUUGAGAAAUCGAAUAACUAUUA
rnacentral:misc_RNA from 1 species